rnacentral:misc_RNA from 1 species
UAAGCAGCUAAGCCAUCCUUCAAUUCUCUCUUCUAGCUCCCCAACAGAACCAGCCUGCAUAUCUAUAGGAUUUAAUCUCUCCUAUUCCUUGGUGUGCAUAAGUGGGAGAUCUGAAACAUUAAUGGACACAAUCUCAAAUCCUGUUUCCAACCAAAACCAACAGAAUCCAGAGUCCCUCAACAUGUUGUCAUCUUCCCAGAGGCUGAACAACAAGAUUGGUUAAAAACAUCAAGACAACAUAUCAAGGUAGUCCCUAGAUUGCUGAACAACAUUUCUGGUAAGAGGACCUGUUCCAUUUUUCAAGCUCCUCAAACAGUUAAGAUAGGCAAAGAAAGAAAUCACUCCAGAUGAUCGAAGAAGAAAAAUGGCGAUUGCUUGGUGUAGUUAUCUUAUCACUUGUAUAUCAAUGAAAACAACCAGCUAUCCUUCACCUAAACCCAGUUUUGACACUAAUGUUUUAUAUGCAUAAAGCAACCAGCUG